ACGAACGCUGGCGGCGUGCUUAACACCUGCAAGUCGAACGGAAAGGCCCUGCUUUUGUGGGGUGCUCGAGUGGCGAACGGGUGAGUAACACGUGAGUAACCUGCCCUUGACUUUGGGAUAACUUCAGGAAACUGGGGCUAAUACCGGAUAGGAGCUCCUGCUGCAUGGUGGGGGUUGGAAAGUUUCGGCGGUUGGGGAUGGACUCGCGGCUCAUCAGCUUGUUGGUGGGGUAGUGGCUUACCAAGGCUUUGACGGGUAGCCGGCCUGAGAGGGUGACCGGCCACAUUGGGACUGAGAUACGGCCCAGACUCCUACGGGAGGCAGCAGUGGGGAAUAUUGCACAAUGGGCGGAAGCCUGAUGCAGCAACGCCGCGUGCGGGAUGACGGCCUUCGGGUUGUAAACCGCUUUCGCCUGUGACGAAGCGUGAGUGACGGUAAUGGGUAAAGAAGCACCGGCUAACUACGUG
rnacentral:rRNA from 1 species